CCCGCCCGGGCGCCCCCUCCCCCACCACGCCUGGAUCCCUGCCGGGCUCCCGGAGCGGAGACUGUGCCUUCUGCAACAGGGCUGUGCUCCAGGCCAGAACCAGCAGCUGAUUUAGAUACCAUCAAGACACCUAAAACCUUAUCAUGAGCCAGAUGCUGUGGAAGAGAUUCUGGGAGAAUCCUGAGGACCCCCCAGUUGCAGCCAUGUCAAGACUGAUGCUGAGGAGGACCCCAACUGUCACGAGCAACACCCGUCAAACACAGCCACCUACUUGGGGAAAGAUCAAGAAGCUGUCACAGAUGGUGGAAGAAAACCUGAGGAAAGCGGGACAACCAGUCACAAUGAGUAAUUUAAUGAUAGCUAUGAGAGCGGUGAUCACCAUUGCUUCUGCAGAUGCAGAUCCUGACUCCUGCGAGAAGUAGCUCACCGUGAUAAAGCUGCCUUUGCUUUUAUUGCCCUGCAAAAACAAGAAGGGGGACAUGCUGGGGAAUAGGCCCCCAAAUCUGGACAUAAACUGGCCCCAAAACUGGCCAUAAACAAAAUCUCUGCAGCGCUGUGACAUGUUCAUGGUGGCCAUAACGCCCUUGCUGGAAGAUUGUGGGUUUACCGGAAUGAGGGCGAGGAACACCUGGCCUAUCCAGGACGGAAAACCACUUAUAGGUAUUCCUAAACCACAAACAAUAGUAUGAGCAACCUAUGCCUUAAGGACAUGUUCCUGCUGCAGAUAACUAGCCAGAGCCCAUCCCUUUGUUUCGGCCCAUCCUUUUGUUUCCUGUAAGGAGUGCUUUUAGUUAAUCUAUAAUCUAUACAAACAAUACUUAUCACUGGCUUGCUGUCAAUAAAUAUGUGGGUAAAUCUCUGCUCAUGGCUCUCAGCUCUGAAGGCUGUGAGUCCCCUGAUUUCCCACUCCACAUGCUA